rnacentral:rRNA from 1 species
GGGGCAAGCGUUAUCCGGAUUUACUGGGUGUAAAGGGAGCGUAGACGGUAAUGCAAGUCUGGAGUGAAAUGCAGGGGCUCAACCCCUGAACUGCUUUGGAAACUGUAUGACUGGAGUGCAGGAGAGGUAAGUGGAAUUCCUAGUGUAGCGGUGAAAUGCGUAGAUAUUAGGAGGAACACCAGUGGCGAAGGCGGCUUACUGGACUGUAACUGACGUUGAGGCUCGAAAGCGUGGGGAGCAAACA